UACGUAGGGGGCAAGCGUUGUCCGGAAUCAUUGGGCGUAAAGCGCGUGUAGGCGGCUUGGUAAGUCCGCUCUGAAAGCCCGGGGCUCAACCCCGGGAGGCGGGUGGAUACUGUCAAGCUCGAGUCCGGAAGAGGCGAGUGGAAUUCCUGGUGUAGCGGUGGAAUGCGCAGAUAUCAGGAAGAACACCAACGGCGAAGGCAGCUCGCUAGGACGGUACUGACGCUGAGACGCGAAAGCGUGGGGAGCGAACAGG
rnacentral:rRNA from 1 species